rnacentral:piRNA from 1 species
CAUCAACAUGAGAGCAUUAGCAGCAG